AGAGUUUGAUCCUGGCUCAGAGUGAACGCUGGCGGCGUGCCUAAUACAUGCAAGUCGAACGGAGAUUAAGUAGCUUGCUAUUUAAUCUUAGUGGCGCACGGGUGAGUAAUAUAUAGCUAAUCUGCCCUACACUAGAGGACAACAGUUGGAAACGACUGCUAAUACUCUAUACUCCUUCUUUACAUAAGUUAAGUCGGGAAAGUUUUUCGGUGUAGGAUGAGGCUAUAUCGUAUCAGCUAGUUGGUAGGGUAACGGCCUACCAAGGCUAUGACGCGUAACUGGUCUGAGAGGAUGAUCAGUCACACUGGAACUGAGACACGGUCCAGACUCCUACGGGAGGCAGCAGUAGGGAAUAUUGCUCAAUGGGGGAAACCCUGAAGCAGCAACGCCGCGUGGAGGAUGACACUUUUCGGAGCGUAAACUCCUUUUCUUGGGAAAGAAUUAUGACGGUACCCAAGGAAUAAGCACCGGCUAACUCCGUGCCAGCAGCCGCGGUAAUACGGAGGGUGCAAGCGUUACUCGGAAUCACUGGGCGUAAAGGACGCGUAGGCGGAUUAUCAAGUCUCUUGUGAAAUCUAACGGCUUAACCGUUAAACUGCUUGGGAAACUGAUAAUCUAGAGUAAGGGAGAGGCAGAUGGAAUUCUUGGUGUAGGGGUAAAAUCCGUAGAGAUCAAGAAGAAUACCCAUUGCGAAAGCGAUCUGCUGGAACUUAACUGACGCUAAUGCGUGAAAGCGUGGGGAGCAAACAGGAUUAGAUACCCUGGUAGUCCACGCCCUAAACGAUGUAUACUAGUUGUUGCUUCGCUAGUCGAGGCAGUAAUGCACCUAACGGAUUAAGUAUACCGCCUGGGGAGUACGGUCGCAAGAUUAAAACUCAAAGGAAUAGACGGGGACCCGCACAAGCGGUGGAGCAUGUGGUUUAAUUCGAAGAUACGCGAAGAACCUUACCCGGACUUGAUAUCUAACAAAUCAUCCAGAGAUGGAAGAGUGUCUGCUUGCAGAAAUGUUAAGACAGGUGCUGCACGGCUGUCGUCAGCUCGUGUCGUGAGAUGUUGGGUUAAGUCCCGCAACGAGCGCAACCCACGUCAUUAGUUGCUAACGGUUCGGCCGAGCACUCUAAUGAGACUGCCUUCGUAAGGAGGAGGAAGGUGUGGACGACGUCAAGUCAUCAUGGCCCUUAUGUCCGGGGCGACACACGUGCUACAAUGGCGUAUACAAUAAGACGCAAUAUCGCGAGAUGGAGCAAAUCUAUAAAAUACGUCCCAGUUCGGAUUGGAGUCUGCAACUCGACUCCAUGAAGCCGGAAUCGCUAGUAAUCGUAGAUCAGCCAUGCUACGGUGAAUACGUUCCCGGGUCUUGUACUCACCGCCCGUCACACCAUGGGAGUUGAUUUCACUCGAAGCCCAAAUACCAAACCGGUUAUGGUCCACAGUGGAAUCAGCGACUGGGGUGAAGUCGUAACAAGGUAACC
rnacentral:rRNA from 1 species